rnacentral:lncRNA from 1 species
UGUUAUAGUGUGAUAUGAUUUCAUGCUGAAAGCAAUACUUUCUCGUUUUGCCUGUGAAUUUCUUUUAAUUAUUUCAAAUAUUUAAAAGUAGGCAGGCUGCCCAGGUGUUUGGGUUCAGCAACCAUGAUCAAAAGGAGAGGGAAAAUGUGGUUUUCUUUUAUUGCAUUUCCCUUGAGCAUCUUCAAGACCCUUUGAAAGAACAGCUGCCUAGCCCAGGCAACCUCUCUUCUUAGCCUACACGGAAGAAAUGAAAUUCACUCCCAAAGUGCGGGUGUUUUCAGGACCCAGUGAACUGGAACUUGCAGCGUCUUCUGCAAGCUCCGUUGGGCCGGCCUUUCAUGUGAGCAGGAAGGAAAUGACUGACAACUUUCUCGUCUUUAUGGAAGGCGGACUUUAUUUCCAGCUCUCAGGUCAAAAGGCGGCGGAAAGAAAACAAAACCACUAAGAGAUAAAGGCUAAAAAUAAUGUCCUGUGGGGUGAAUCAACCCAGUUUGGGACCCUGAAGACAGCAACAAGGCAAGGAUGUGCGUAGGGCUAAAUCUGCGUCAUCCUUCACAGGUGGUCGUGACCAGAAUCAAAAUGCCUGGGCAAGAGAGGAAGAAGUUCUGCAAACAGACAAGCACAUAACACCACCCUGACACUGAGCAGAUCAUCUCCAGCUCCCUUCAUAUUAUGCUACUGGAGACCAAUCUUUAUAACCAGAAGAGGAGGAGGAGGAGUUAUUCUAACCUGUCGUUUUCUUCCUUUACAUCACUUUUUCCUUUUAGGUCAUAUCCAAAAAAGGAAGCUUCACCUGUGAAUUCUUUCUAUGAGAUCCACUACUGGGAAAUUCUGGGAGCUCCAGGGAAGAGCUGCACAGCACAUUUCUGGCUAAAUAAAUAAGGUUUUCUAUCUUGAUUUAUUCAUUCAGCGAGUACAUGUCUCCAUGUCAAAGGCUGACCUAAGAAUCUUCCUUAUAAAAAUUCAGCAAGCAUAUCAUUGCAUUUUUUUUAAUUAAAAGGAUUGUGUGACAAGGGAAGCAGUAUUCUACAGUUUAUCAAGAAUGAGUAGAGGAAUCACUAUACAAAGUAUAAUUUGUGCCUUUUU